AAGACUGCAUAUGGCCUAUAUGGGGCUCCAUUCUUGGUGGCUUUUUAGGUUAGUGCGGUGGUGAGGCCCUCCCCUCCUUUCCUGUAUUAUAGACAGUAGUAAUGGUCUAGUGGUACUACCGCUGGGUUUCAGAACUACUGUUUGAAUCUAAUCAUGUGACCCUUCAAUCUUUCAUACGGUUGCAAUGUCUCCAUCAACAUUUGGCCUUGCAGUAAGUAGUUGACUUCAUAUGUAGUUGAUAAUUGGUUUGGUUCACCACAAUUUAAUCCUAAACAAUUAUAUUUUAUUCCUAGCUAAUUAAUGGAACUUUGACAUGUUUUCCAAUUCGUUUAGUAGUGGCUCAACUUACCUCUGAUAGUGUUGUUCUGCAAUUAACUUAAUUUUCUCCUGCGAAUGAGAAGAUUUUCACGCUAGGUCGUCAAGUGCGGAGCGGAGAACUGCUGAAAGCAUCUAAGUAGUAAGCUCAUCCCAAAAUGAACGCUCUCCUAUUUUGACUUCCCUAAAGCCUCCCCUAGCAUAUUACUCCUCUUACAUUAAUUGAUACUUAAAAGCGGUUUUACCUGGAAUGAAACAACAAAAAUGGAUUCACGAGGGUUUAGCACUUUUAUUUACAAAAAAAUAAAAAAAAAAUAAAAAAAUGUUGAUUUAAAAUGAUGGCCAGAGAUCAUGCAUUGUUAAACGAUAUUCGUGGCAUCCAGCAGCAUCGACGAAUGUUGGUGUAGGACUCAUACCCACCCACCCAACUAUAUAUAUAUAUAUAUAUAUAUAUAUAUAUAUAUAUUAUCCAAGGAUUUAUUCCAUGCAUUCCGACAAAUAUAAAUCAAACUAUAUAAUAUAAAUAUGUGGGAUUAAAUUAUUAAAGAACUCCCCCCGAUUCAUUUUUGUGUAUGUCAACUAGUUAGGCAAAUAGGCAUGGAAAAUCCAUGUCCAAUGUUAAGUUAGCAGAUCAAGGCAAAUGCACUUCUUUUUAUUUGUGCGUGCUCGUGUAUGCAUUACUAAUAACUGCACAUGCAUUAGUCGUUAAUACACACACACACACACAUACUUAAAAUCAUGUCUUGCAUUAUUGAUGGCCAGAAUUUAACAUAUCAUUCAUAAAACUAUAUAUAAAAUUACUACACCAUGGGACGCGACCAAAGUCAUGCCAAACAAUUAGGUAAUUAAAGUGAUUGAUCUCAAUAUUCUCCAACUAAACCUAAUGAUAAAGUUUGGUGUUUUACAUGACAUAGCCAACUAUUUACUGGUAUUGUGAGGUUGCAUUUUCGAGCAUGUGAGCAUAUAACUCAAAAUCAAUUUAUACUAAAUAGAAAAGUCUCGGCAGCAGGAAUUAUGUUCCAAAUCCCGGCACCUCAUUUCUUUUGCAUAUCUUUUAAUGCAAGACUUCUACUCUCUAAUGUGUGAUAUUUUCAAUGCACUCCCCUUUCGUUGAACCGUUUCUUAAACCUAACAUGUGUAUGGUUUUUAUUAAGAAUAUAUGAUUUAUUGUCAUACAUGUAGCAUGUAAAUUUUCUUUCUCGAUGUGG
rnacentral:lncRNA from 1 species